GGGGCUGUAGCUCAGUAGGAUAGAGCGAUCGCUCCUAAGCGAUAGGCCGUGGGUUCGAUUCCCGCCAGUCCCG
rnacentral:tRNA from 1 species